rnacentral:rRNA from 1 species
AUUGAACGCUGGCGGCAGGCCUAACACAUGCAAGUCGAGCGAGCGGCGGACGGGUGAGUAAUGUUUGGGAAACUGCCUGAUGGAGGGGGAUAACUACUGGAAAAGGUAGCUAAUAUCGCAUAAAAUCAGAGGUGCCCAGAUGGUGUUAGCUGUUAGGUGGGGUAACGGCUCCCCUAGGCGACGAUCCCUAGCUGGUGUGCGAGGAGGACCAGCCACACUGGAACUGAGACACGGUCCAGACUCCUACGGGAGGCAGCAGUGGGGAAUAUUGCACAAUGGGCGCAAGCCUGAUGCAGCCAUGCCGCGUGUGUGAAGAAGGCCUUCGGGUUGUAAAGCACUUUCAGCGGGGAGGCGUUACCCGCAGAAGAAGCACCGGCUAACUCCGUGCCAGCCGCCGCGGUAAUUC